rnacentral:rRNA from 1 species
GACGAACCGAGCGAACGUUGUUCGGAAUCACUGGGCUUAAAGGGCGCGUAGGCGGGCUGCCGCGUCCGGGGUGAAAUCCCACGGCUCAACCGUGGAACGGCCCCGGGUACGGGCGGCCUUGAGGGGGGUAGGGGCGUGCGGAACUGUGGGUGGAGCGGUGAAAUGCGUUGAUAUCCACAGGAACUCCGGUGGCGAAGGCGGCACGCUGGACCCCCACUGACGCUGAGGCGCGAAAGCCAGGGGAGCGAACGGG